AUUUUCUUAAAAUUAUGACGUGUUCGUGAUAUAUUUUAGACGAGUAUAUUUUGCAUAAUAACUAUUACAAAAAAUUAAGUUAAAAAUUCAUAUAAAAGGCAUGUGAUAAAGUUAUGUAAUUAACGUAAUAAGCAUUUUUAUUGAACAACUUACACUUAAGUCAAUUUUGACAGAUUAAGAAAAGUAAAUAAAAACGGCCGGCACCUUGGGCGGUUAUUAUUUUAACAAAUUUUUGCUGGAAUCAACGCUAUACGCGGCUUUUUUUUUUACCAAGCAGAAGAGGGGCCAGGAACGAAAAACAAAAAAGUACUUGAAAAUGCGUAUGCGUGUGGCGUACGUGAUGGUGGAGGCAAAAUGUGCGUGUCCGGAUUUUAAUAAAAAUAUUGGCAACACAACGCGUACUUGAACUAUAUAAAACAACUCAAAUAAGGUACAACAUUAUGAUAACCGGAAAAAAUUGAGCUACGUACAUCCUAGUUUUCUUACUCCUGGUAAAUUUCAAUUAACGUUGGAAACUUUUACUUCAAAUCAUUCUAAAGAUUAUCAGUAGUUUAAUAAAUUUGAAAAGUGGUUAAAAAGUUUGUACACGUUGUUA